CUAAAUCUGGAAGCGGAGUCAUGGAUAUUUAUAAUCAACAACAGAUGUUUAUUAAUGAUGGUAGUGGCAAUAGAAGAGUUGUAUGGGAAUAAUUCGUUAAUAUCAGGGGAUAAAGAAGUUGUACUUCUCUUUGCAUUCAUGCAGAAAGAAGAAGAAAUCAAGUUCAUACUGAAAUCUUUGCUGUUGUAAGAUUGAUCACCAAGCAGCCAAUCCAAGAUCCACCCCUUGGCUCCGUCUCCCUUGUCUACGUAGAUAUUUCAGACAGAGUGGAAAAUAAAACACUUAUUUCUC
ensembl:lincRNA Gm12730 predicted gene 12730